rnacentral:misc_RNA from 1 species
AAGUCGUAACAAGGUUUCCCGAUUAGGUGGAACCUGCGGGAAGGGAUCAUUACAAAAUUAAAAGCUGGUAGGAAGUGGGGGUCUUGAUCUGUAAGUGGGUAGAGCGAACAGUCCGGCUGCCUCCCGAAAUGUCUUACAUGUCCCCCCACAGCCUGAAGGCCGAAUUACAACCCUUGAUUAUCUACGCUUGUUGCUUUGGGGUGCUCAAGUGCCCCAGAGGACCCAACUCUCUUGCAUUUAGUGACGUCUGAGUACUAUAUAAUAUUUAAAA